CACAGGGGUGAGAGGGGACUUUUGAACGCGAAGCUCGCGCUUUUGGCCUUUUGCCCGUUGGGCUUGGGUCGUCAGAACUCAUCAGAAGCCCGACACACGGGCAAGCGGAGCGGUGAGCGGAGCCGCGCGCGUAGCUGCCGUUGGUGGGGUAGUAGGCGGCUGCGGGAGCUCGUGUCGUGUCCGCUUCUGGCUUUUGUGCCCUCGCCCAGCAUCGGGUCGAGGUCGGGUCUGGCGGCCGCUUUGCGUGCCUGCAAGGCUUCUUCCUGCCUGCCGCUGGCGCGCUCUUUCUUGCCGUUGCAAAAAUACAAAUUCCAGAGCUUAUUUCAAACCUUCGUUCCUGGCCGCCAACCUUUAUUUUAACUUUUCUAGCUUCUGUACGCACUUGUGUGGUUUCGUAUCCCAGCUUGUUGCUUCCCGCUUUUGGAAAAUUAUUAGCCGCCCUUUUUUUUUAAGCUCAUCAUCCAUGAUUUGCGUUUUGUUUCUCUCUCUCUAUAAUAAUAAUGGUGAUUUGCGUAUUGAAAGUGCGUCUCCGACUGCGUUAGCUCAUGCAUGAAUCUGUGCGUUUCCAGUACGGGUUUGGGCGCACUGGCUUUUUUAGCCUGGGUGGGCAUUUUAGGUGGUGAGCAUUAUGCACUAGCUAGCUAGUGAUGGAAUUGAAAUCCCAACUAAUUGUCAUGCCACUUAAGAGAUGAUGUAUGUGUUGCGUGAAGCCUCGGCACGCCCGUGGUUUUGGAUUUUGACACUGUAACAUUUUUAUUUUUAUUUGACAAAUGUUGUCUAAUCAAAGAGUAACUAGUCUUAAAAAAUUCGUCUCGUGAUUUACAGACAAACUAUGCAAUUAGUUUUUAUUUUCAUUUAUAUUUAAUGUUGCAUGCAUGUACAGCAAGAUUCAAUGUGAUGAGGAAUCUUGAUUUUUUUUUUGUUUUUGAGGUGAACUAAACAAGGCCUUGACUUGAGCUUAUCUGCCGAAUCUAUCAGUCAUUUAACAAUAUUUUUCUCUUAUAAUAAUUUAGCGAACAAUACUUUCAUAGUUUUUUAGACAAACGAACAAGCUCAAUUGUUCAAGGUAGGUGCAUCGGGCAAUUGAUCUUGGGUAAUUUGAAGGCAAACAAAACACAUGUACUCCUAUGUACUACUCUCUCCAUACCUAUAAAGAAAGUCGUUUAGGACAAUGACAUAGUUUUCAAAGCUUAACUUUGACUUUUUAUUUUUAUAAAUUUUUUUAUCAAAAAGUGGUAUAUGUAUAUUUUUAUGAAAGUAUUUUUCAAGACAAAUCUAUUCAUAUGGUUUCCAUAUUUCCAAACUCAAUAAUUUAAAAGUUAUUUCAUAAUUUAUAUUCUCAAUGUUUGACCUAAACCUUGUACAAAACGACUUUUUUACGUGUAUAGAGAGAGUAUCUUAUUAGUUCUCAGUUAUAAUAUUAAUUCGACCACUCUUACUUUUUUGAUUAAAUUCUCUGUAAAUAUAUUUGUUUUUGUCUACGCUUUGCUCAUGGAUUCAUUGGCUACAACUUUUUUUUAUUAAGUUAUAUAAAAACUCACCUUUAUUUUACAGGUGGUUCCCAUAGACCAAGCUUGAGCGACUAGUCGUGUUUACCAAAAAUGGUCCAGCAAAGUUGAAGUCUGACACUUAUAAAGUGAAAUAAUCCUACAGACAAACGGAUCAAUGGAAUUUACAGCUAGGCUAAUCCAGGAACAAAGACGAAAAUAAUGCAGGCAUACGCUCGUGUGUCUGGAACGAACAAGAGAAAUGCAUGCGUCGGCCACCCACUAAUCAAUAAACAUCUAUCCCCCCCCCCCCCCCCCCCCCCCGGUAACAGAUAAAACAAAACAAUAGCUUAUGCGCCGCAAAAGUGCUUUCGCACUCAAAGUAGCAGUAGGCGUACACUUUGCUAAACUGCAGUUCUAGAAGCCCUAACUAGCUGAUAAAAGUCUUUUUGUAUGCAAUGAGAAGAUUUUCUUUUACAGUCUUCUCUCCGUCCUGCCCUCCACCUGUAAAAUACUCACCUACUUCCAUAAGAAAAAGAAAAAAAAACUCACCUACUAAGUAAGUCUGUUACUCCCUCUCUCUCUAUCAAAGAAUAGAAUGCUUAGGGUCUGUUUAGAUCUUAAAUCUUUACAUUCCAAAACUUUUGGCUGUAAACUUUACAUUCAAAUAGGUGUUUAAAUGCUUUCCAAAUAUUUUGGUCUGCAACACACAAUACACGGGUCCCUAAACAAGUUUACACAGUUUUGAGACUCCAAGGUCCCAAAUUCCAAAUCUUUAUAGCCAAAUUUUACAAGUCACUGUUUAGAUCCAUUCUUCCAAAAAGUGCUCAUUUCUCCAAAAGUUUUGGCUGUUUGACUGCAUCUAAACAGGGCCUUACUUUUUAAAAAGUCAAAUAGUUUCAAUUUUGACUAAAUUUAUAUAAAAUAUACUAACAUUCAUGAUACAAAAAUAAGCACCGUUACAAGUCGUACAUUUUCUGCCAGACAACAGUAUUUUUCUCUCAUAAUAAAUCAGCGAACAAUAUUUUCAAUCAUAGCUUUUAAACCAGUG
rnacentral:lncRNA from 1 species